rnacentral:lncRNA from 1 species
AUUUGUUCAAACUUUAAAAAAAAAAAAAAAGGUUAUUGCCAACUUUCCUUCUUCCUGCAGAAUCAAUUUUGAGAAGUUGGAAGUAAUAUACAUAGGAUUUUAGUAUUGAAGAGUCUGAAAAGUACACACUUUUACAACUACAUGCAAUCAAAAUACUGUUCAACGCUAUUCAUUGUUGUGACAUUUCUACUAAGGUGGAAAUAUUUCAAUGAUUUAAAAAUUAUAAGAUGAGGCAUUGAAAGACACUGAUAAUUAAUUAACUUGCAUCUGAAAUACAAAGCUUUUCACUCAUUGACAUUUUGAUUUGAUUAAAUGUCUUUCCUAUUUAUAUUAAGAUAGAAAUUUUUCAAGUAGUUAAAAAAAAAUGUAUUUUAACCAUCUUGAAGCAAUUAAUUAGCACAAUGUACAAACUAAAACUAUGAAAUGAGGAUUGUAAGUUUAAAGACCUUUAAUGGGAAUACCUUUAGGUCUUAAUAUUAUUAAUCAUCUAAUAAGCUUUUCGACUGGCAAAUAUUCAGUUACACAUGGAUAAUUCACUUUUUGUGUCUCAAUAUAAUUUUUCAGCUAAAAAAAAUUUGUUUUAAUUUUAAACUUGACUUUAUAAAGAAGGAUAGUGAAAUGAAGCAGCAAAGAUUUGCUUCAGUUUUAUAUGAGGUUAUUUUUUCUAUGAAAGUUGUUGCAGAGCUAGAAGGUAUUUAAAUCAUGAAGAUAUUUUAUGUCAUUUGAUUGUUGAAUUAACUUUAUAUAUGACAGCAAACUUUUUUUACGUUCGUAUAAUGGUAUGAUGUUGUCUGUGUCGUCGUCGUCUGAAGACACAUUUAGUGUUCGGACAAUAACUUAAGUUUAAAUAAAUGAAUCGGUAUGAAAUUUUAUAAAAAGGUUCAAUACCUCAAAAGGAAGGUUGGGAUUGAUUUUUGGGAUAAUGGUCCAAACUGUUUUAAAAUUAGGGGCCCAAAAGGGCCCAAAACAAGUAUUUUUCUACUUUCAGUAUAUCAACUUGUGUAAAAGUAUUUCAAUUGCUCUGAAAUUUUACCACAAUGUUUAAUACUAUAUGCAAAAGGUUUGAAUUCAUUUUGGGGGUUAUGGUCCCAAAGGUUUAGGAAUAAGUAGCCAAAAAGGGGGCCCGAAAUAAGCAUUUUUGUAGUUUUCAAAUAAUAACUUGUGUUUAAGUGUAUGAACCUCUCUGAAAUUAUAUACCACAAAUUUCCAUACCAUGAAGGGAUGAUUAGUAUUGACAUUGUGGGGUUAUGGCUCAAAAUGAUUUGGAAUUAGGGGCAAAAAAAGGGAACACUAGGUUUUUGGUCAAUGGACAAAUAAGACAAUUUUAAAGCAGUGUAAGGAAGGAAACUCAAAACCAUUUAACAUACAAUGUUGGUUAUGUUUGGAUUUACCUCCCUUACACUUGUAGAUUAUGUAUAAUGAAAUGUCAGGUUUUGGACUUAUUGCAAAAAAAAAAGGGGGGGGGGGGGUAGUAGUUUUCUAUUUUUUUCUCCAAAUUUUUGAAAAGUUUGAAGAGGUAAUCUUUAAUUGCACAAUAUUGCGCAAUAGAUUUGUAAGAUCUUGACAUUUGUUUUGUGUCAGGAACUCAAAUUAUGUCAAAAACUUUAUCACAAUCCAAAUUCAGAGCUGUUUCAAGCUUGAAUGUUGUGUCCAUAUUUGCCCCAACUGUUCAGGGUUUGACCCCUGCUGUCGUAUAACGCUGCACCCUGCGUAGCACCUGGUAUUACAUGUAACUAUUAAAAGAAUGGUAAGCUACAGGGAAAAUAACUUGAGAUCACAAUAAUACUCCAACACAUUGAAAGGGUAGUGACAUAAAUGUGAUUAUUGGGGACAUUUACUUGUGAUAACCAUAAACAUAAAUAUUUUAAUCAGUUUUAACUGUUUGAUUAAGGGUUGAAUCUAGUUUAUUGUACACAGUCAUACCACUGCUGAAUUGUAAACUUCUGGUUAAAUGUUUUGGAUAAGUUGAGCAAUUUCAUAGUUGAGGUCGAUUGAUAGCAUGAGAUAUGAAAGGUUGUGAAAUUUUCUUUACUCCAUUCAAGUUAAUGAUAUACAAAACACUUACCAAUUGAAGACAAACAUUUAAAGAGAGGAGGGAAAUCACUAUCAAAUCAUCAAUAUUUAGUGUUGUAUUCCUGCCAUCUAAUAUCAAGGUCAAACUAACUGGGAUAUUUCCAAAAGAAAUUAAUCUAUCUUUGACAUUUCAUUUACUCUAUCUGUAAUGGGGUUUUCUUUUUGACAGUUCCGACCACCAGUCACUGAAUUUUAUGAGCUUAACCUAGCACUGAAUUUGUUCAUUAUAUAAAAUAUAUUGAUUUGAAGCCCCUUAGUACUUACAAAAAUCAGUAUUUGAUUUGAAUUAGUUCUGAAUAUCACAAUAAUACAGGAUGGCAUUAAUUUUCCCCAUAUUGGGAUUGUAUCAUCAAUAGCAGUACAACGUAUUCCAGUCUUUAUAUGUAUGCUAAGACCUCAGUCACUUACAGUACUUAAAACAUCUAGUAUCGAAUCUAUUACACAAGAUCUGAAUACCAAGCAUCUUUAAGGAAAAUAAAAAUGGCUACUGAACAAGUUUAAAUACUUGACUCUACUUAAUAACAGCUAUCAAUGGGAAGUAUAAAGUAUUUUAGUAUUGAGAACACCAUUGUACAACUUCAGGCAGCAUGAAAAGGAAUUAUUUUUGGCAUGAAAUGGUGCAUGCUCUGUUUUAUUGUACAUAACCAUACACAUAAAGUCAGCAUUUUAUCAAAUGAAAUUUUUAUUAUAAUGUAAAACAUGUUGAAUUAUAUGAAAAAACAAAAAAAAUAAAUGCAACAUGAAACAGA